rnacentral:rRNA from 1 species
AACGAACGCUGGCGGCAGGCCUAACACAUGCAAGUCGAGCGCCCCAGCGAUGGGGAGGCGGCGGACGGGUGAGUAACGCGUGGGAACGUGCCUCUUGCUACGGAAUAGCCUCGGGAAACUGGGAGUAAUACCGUAUGUGCCCUACGGGGAAAGGAUUUAUCGGCAAGAGAUCGGCCCGCGUUGGAUUAGGUAGUUGGUGGGGUAAUGGCCUACCAAGCCGACGAUCCAUAGCUGGUUUGAGAGGAUGAUCAGCCACACUGGGACUGAGACACGGCCCAGACUCCUACGGGAGGCAGCAGUGGGGGAAUCUUAGACAAUGGGCGCAAGCCUGAUCUAGCCAUGCCGCGUGAGCGAUGAAGGCCUUA